GGCUGCGAUCAUACCAGCACUAAUGCACCGGAUCCCAUCAGAACUCCAAAGUUAAACGUGCUUGGGCGAGAGCAGUACUAAGAUGGGUGACCUCUUCGAAAGUCCUCGUGUUGCACCCC
rnacentral:rRNA from 1 species